AGAGUUUGAUCCUGGCUCAGAAUCAACGCUGGCGGCGUGCCUAACACAUGCAAGUCGCACGAGAAAGGGACUUCGGUCCUGAGUACAGUGGCGCGCGGGUGAGUAACACGUGAAUCAUCUACCUUCGAGUGGGGAAUAACUGAGAGAAAUCUUAGCUAAUACCGCAUAAUACCUACGGGUCAAAGCAGCAAUGCGCUUGAAGAGGAGUUCGCGGCAGAUUAGUUAGUUGGCGGGGUAAUGGCCCACCAAGACGAUGAUCUGUACCCGGCCUGAGAGGGCGCACGGACACACUGGAACUGAAACACGGUCCAGACUCCUACGGGAGGCAGCAGUGGGGAAUUUUGCGCAAUGGGGGAAACCCUGACGCAGCAACGCCGCGUGGAGGAUGAAAUCCCUUGGGAUGUAAACUCCUUUCGAUGGGGAAGAUAAUGACGGUAC
rnacentral:rRNA from 1 species